CAGGAGGCUUUGGAAGCUCAAAGCCUUUGACAGCUCAUAGAAAAACUGAUCAAGGGGUAUCUAGGUGCCACUGUAUGAAACAUGUCUACAGCAAUGCUGCUGAGUUAAUUUGCACUGCCAGGUUACAAGUCAACCUGUCUGCUUCACAGCCAUGAACUUCUCCCUCUUCCAUCACGACAGGUUAACCAAGGUGGCAUCUAGAAUAUGAUGUUAGUCUUUUUAAAUACUGUUUGUCAAUACUGGGAAGAAGAAAGGCAAAGAAUGAUCAUCUGUUGAAGCAAAGUGAACUAUAAUUGUAGAUGGCAACAAUAAUUUGGGGCCUGGAAAGCCCAUCUUUUCCUUUGAUUUGCAUUUGGAUUGAUGGAGUCUCUAACUUAGAAUAAUAAAAUUAACUGCUUUGUUAAAGCAAAGCGAUAAGAAAUUUCAUUUCUUCGUCUCAAUGAAGCCACCCAAAAUCCCAUGUAUUUUCUUUUGUAAGUUGUUUAUUUUUAAUACUCUACACUCAUUAUUCUUUUAUAUGCUGAAUGUUAACACUUUGGUGAUGGCAUAAGACCAUCCCUGCUCCUGUAUGUUUUUUUUUUUAUUGAAGUAUAGUCAACAAACAAUAUCUUAUUAGUUUCAGAUGUACAUCAUAGUGAUAUGAUUAUUUUUGUACAUUAUAAAAUGACCCGCACUUUAAGUCUACAUCUGUUACCACAAAAAGUUAUUACAAUAUUAUU